UAGGGCAUCGUCAGGAGCCAGCGGUGCUGUUUCUCUUGUCAUGGCAUUGUCGGGAGCGGCUAAAGCUGGGUGAAGGGAGCAGCGCCGCUUCACCUCCGCCCUCGCUGACCUGCGAUGGCGGCGACUUCAACAAACCGCUACCAUUGUAGCGGUGGCCUCUCAGGUCUGAAUGUCCAAAAAAGAGGGAAGGUCAUGAUGAAAUUUUCAGUACUCCCUGGUUGUUUUCUU